GGCUCAGCUUCCCUGUGCACUGUGCUCUAAUAUCUCUCCACUGUCAUCAUGAAAAAUUUUGUCAGCACGUUUUGUUCGAGGAUGGUAAGCAGGACCUGGGUGAAAAUGACAUUCUGUUAGGUGCAGAGGGAAAUAAUUAUCCUUUGAAGUUAAAUGUAUUCAGAUUUGCACGAGUCUUGUCUGCCUUAUGUUUGAAUUGCUUUCUAUUGUAGGCAGUGGUUUUAAAUUAAACUUUUAUUUUGGGUCUCCCCCCCCAGUAUCUUGUCCAAGACCAAGCUACCUUUCCUCGUGGGAAUGGACUGGCCGGGCUUUGGCAAUCUGGCCCCUCGAAAGUCUUAAGUGACCUCUUCCAACAGGGGGAGACUGAAGCUUCCUGCUGACUGUGUAAACUGGAAAGAAAUGAUACAGUGUGGAUCCAGCUACUUCACUGAAGCUGUAAAGGAAGAACGGCACGUGAAUAGCAGAAAAUGAGUUAGAAAUACUGAUUAAUGGCAAUUUCCUAGGAAGGCAAGGGGCUUAAGCAUGCUGAAGGCCCUUCUACCUAAAGCUGCCUGUGUUCACCACACCAAAGUCCCACCCCAACCCAAGUGGUGGCCUGUGAGUGCCAAGUCUCAGGAAAUUAUUUUCCUUUGGUUUUUGUUUUACUGCAAAAGCUAGACCUGAAUGAAUAUACUCCCAUCACCUGUCUGUGCCA